rnacentral:lncRNA from 1 species
UGGACUUGGACCUUCAUAUUUCCGAUCCUUAGCUUUGUCUACUUUCUUAAUAACUUUUUAUAUAUAGUUUGAAAUAUUAUUAUUAUCUGCAGACAUCGAAAGGCAAAGUGCAGAAUCUGCCUGUCUUUGCAUUGUCCUCAUGGGAACAACUAUAUAAGAAGCUUUUCAUUUUGUUUUUGUUGUUUGUGUUUUUUUCUUCUUUGUUCUAAU